rnacentral:rRNA from 1 species
CUGCUGCCUCCCGUAGGAGUUUGGGCCGUGUCUCAGUCCCAAUGUGGCCGUUCACCCUCUCAGGCCGGCUACUGAUCGUCGCUUUGGUGGGCCGUUACCCCGCCAACUGGCUAAUCAGACGCGGAUCCAUCGUAUACCACCGGAGUUUUUCACACUGUUCCAUGCGGAACCGUGCGCUUAUGCGGUAUUAGCACCUAUUUCUAAGUGUUAUCCCCCUGUAUACGGCAGGUUAUCCACGCGUUACUCACCCGUCCGCCACUAA